UGAAGUGAAGACAAAUUUACGACCCCGAAACAUCGUGUGGGCUCUUUGUCAUUUUUGGCGAAGGGACGUAAUUCUGAUUCA
rnacentral:snoRNA from 1 species